rnacentral:rRNA from 1 species
AUGAACGCUAGCUACAGGCUUAACACAUGCAAGUCGAGGGGCAGCAUGGUCUUAGCUUGCUAAGGCCGAUGGCGACCGGCGCACGGGUGAGUAACACGUAUCCAACCUGCCGUCUACUCUUGGACAGCCUUCUGAAAGGAAGAUUAAUACAAGAUGGCAUCAUGAGUCCACAUGUUCACAUGAUUAAAGGUAUUCCGGUAGACGAUGGGGAUGCGUUCCAUUAGAUAGUAGGCGGGGUAACGGCCCACCUAGUCUUCGAUGGAUAGGGGUUCUGAGAGGAAGGUCCCCCACAUUGGAACUGAGACACGGUCCAAACUCCUACGGGAGGCAGCAGUGAGGAAUAUUGGUCAAUGGGCGAGAGCCUGAACCAGCCAAGUAGCGUGAAGGAUGACUGCCCUAUGGGUUGUAAACUUCUUUUAUAAAGGAAUAAAGUCGGGUAUGCAUACCCGUUUGCAUGUACUUUAUGAAUAAGGAUCGGCUAACUCCGUGCCAGCAGCCGCGGUAAUACGGAGGAUCCGAGCGUUAUCCGGAUUUAUUGGGUUUAAAGGGAGCGUAGAUGGAUGUUUAAGUCAGUUGUGAAAGUUUGCGGCUCAACCGUAAAAUUGCAGUUGAUACUGGAUAUCUUGAGUGCAGUUGAGGCAGGCGGAAUUCGUGGUGUAGCGGUGAAAUGCUUAGAUAUCACGAAGAACUCCGAUUGCGAAGGCAGCCUGCUAAGCUGCAACUGACAUUGAGGCUCGAAAGUGUGGGUAUCAAACAGGAUUAGAUACCCUGGUAGUCCACACGGUAAACGAUGAAUACUCGCUGUUUGCGAUAUACGGCAAGCGGCCAAGCGAGAGCGUUAAGUAUUCCACCUGGGGAGUACGCCGGCAACGGUGAAACUCAAAGGAAUUGACGGGGGCCCGCACAAGCGGAGGAACAUGUGGUUUAAUUCGAUGAUACGCGAGGAACCUUACCCGGGCUUAAAUUGCAGAUGAAUUACGGUGAAAGCCGUAAGCCGCAAGGCAUCUGUGAAGGUGCUGCAUGGUUGUCGUCAGCUCGUGCCGUGAGGUGUCGGCUUAAGUGCCAUAACGAGCGCAACCCUUGUUGUCAGUUACUAACAGGUCAUGCUGAGGACUCUGACAAGACUGCCAUCGUAAGAUGUGAGGAAGGUGGGGAUGACGUCAAAUCAGCACGGCCCUUACGUCCGGGGCUACACACGUGUUACAAUGGGGGGUACAGAGGGCCGCUACCACGCGAGUGGAUGCCAAUCCCCAAAACCUCUCUCAGUUCGGACUGGAGUCUGCAACCCGACUCCACGAAGCUGGAUUCGCUAGUAAUCGCGCAUCAGCCACGGCGCGGUGAAUACGUUCCCGGGCCUUGUACACACCGCCCGUCAAGCCAUGGGAGCCGGGGGUGCCUGAAGUGCGUAACCGCGAGGAGCGCCCUAGGGUAAAACUGGUGACUGGGGCU